ensembl:misc_RNA 7SK 7SK RNA
GGAUAGAAGGGCUCUCUGGCUCCCCACUGAUCCUCAGGGUUGAUUGGGCUGAUCUGGCUGCCUUGGCAGGUGGCCCCUUCCCCCCUCACCGCUCCACGUGCUUCCCUGAUAAAGGUAGGAGCUUCUUAGAAGAGGAUGACCUUCCCCAUUAGACAUGGACUGGUUGGGUCUAGGGUAUAGGAGCAGCUGCACUCCCCUGCUAGAGCCUCCAAACAAGCUCUCAAGAAAAAAAAACACUGAGUUAUAUGUUAGAGCUCUGCUGGUAGAAGGAAGGAGGGAUGUGCUGGAGUUGAGGUCUAGAAGACAAAAGAACAAGCUAUAUUGACAUUUCUGCUGAAUAUUUCAGGCAUA